rnacentral:misc_RNA from 1 species
AAGUCGUAACAAGGUUUCCGUAGGUGAACCUGCGGAAGGAUCAUUAACGAAUUGUUCAUGGGAGUUGAUGCUGGAAUGCUUUUAGGAGGAUUCAUGUGCUCGCUCUCUACAAUCCUAUCCAUACACCUGUGCACCUUUGAGGAUCCGAGGUGGGAAGGUCUUUGCUGACUGGAAAAACUCGGACCUUACACAUACACCUUUUUUCUAAUAUCGAACGUGAUUGCGCCGUAAGGCCAUAAAACUAUAAUACAACUUUUAACAACGGAUCUCUUGGCUCUC